AUUGAACGCUGGCGGCAGGCCUAACACAUGCAAGUCGAGCGGAUGAAGGGAGCUUGCUCCUGGAUUCAGCGGCGGACGGGUGAGUAAUGCCUAGGAAUCUGCCUGGUAGUGGGGGAUAACGUCCGGAAACGGGCGCUAAUACCGCAUACGUCCUGAGGGAGAAAGUGGGGGAUCUUCGGACCUCACGCUAUCAGAUGAGCCUAGGUUGGAUUAGCUAGUUGGUGGGGUAAAGGCCUACCAAGGCGACGAUCCGUAACUGGUCUGAGAGGAUGAUCAGUCACACUGGAACUGAGACACGGUCCAGAAUCCUACGGGAGGCAGCAGUGGGGAAUAUUGGACAAUGGGCGAAAGCCUGAUCCAGCCAUGCCGCGUGUGUGAAGAAGGUCUUCGGAUUGUAAAGCACUUUAAGUUGGGAGGAAGGGCAGUAAGUUAAUACCUUGCUGUUUUGACGUUACCAACAGAAUAAGCACCGGCUAACUUCGUG
rnacentral:rRNA from 1 species